GACGUAGGGCGCGAACGUUGUCCGGAUUUAUUGGGCGUAAAGAGCUCGUAGGCGGCUUGUCGCGUCGAAUGUGAAAACCCACAGCUCAACUGCGGGUCUGCAGUCGAUACGGGCAGGCUAGAGUUCGGUAGGGGAGACGUGGAAUUCCUGGUGUAGCGGUGAAAUGCGCAGAUAUCAGGAGGAACACCGAUGGCGAAGGCAGGUCUCUGGGCCGAUACUGACGCUGAGGAGCGAAAGCGUGGGGAGCGAACAGG
rnacentral:rRNA from 1 species